rnacentral:rRNA from 1 species
AUCGUACCCCAAACCGACACAGGUGGUCAGGUAGAGAAUACCAAGGCGCUUGAGAGAACUCGGGUGAAGGAACUAGGCAAAAUGGUGCCGUAACUUCGGGAGAAGGCACGCUGACACGUAGGUGAAGCGGUUUACCCGUGGAGCUGAAGUCAGUCGAAGAUACCAGCUGGCUGCAACUGUUUAUUAAAAACACAGCACUGUGCAAACACGAAAGUGGACGUAUACGGUGUGACGCCUGCCCGGUGCCGGAAGGUUAAUUGAUGGGGUCAGCGCAAGCGAAGCUCCUGAUCGAAGCCCCGGUAAACGGCGGCCGUAACUAUAACGGUCCUAAGGUAGCGAAAUUCCUUGUCGGGUAAGUUCCGACCUGCACGAAUGGCGUAAUGAUGGCCAGGCUGUCUCCACCCGGGACUCAGUGAAAUUGAACUCGCUGUGAAGAUGCAGUGUACCCGCGGCAAGACGGAAAGACCCCGUGAACCUUUACUAUAGCUUGACACUGAACACUGGUCCUUGAUGUGCAGGAUAGGUGGGAGGCUUUGAAGUGUGGACGCCAGUCUGCAUGGAGCCAUCCUUGAAAUACCACCCUUUAAUGGCUGGUGUUCUAACGUGGACCCGUAAUCCGGGUUGCGGACAGUGUCUGGUGGGUAGUUUGACUGGGGCGGUCUCCUCCUAAAGAGUAACGGAGGAGCACGAAGGUUGGCUAAUCCUGGUCGGACAUCAGGAGGUUAGUGCAAUGGCAUAAGCCAGCUUGACUGCGAGCGUGACGGCGCGAGCAGGUGCGAAAGCAGGUCAUAGUGAUCCGGUGGUUCUGAAUGGAAGGGCCAUCGCUCAACGGAUAAAAGGUACUCCGGGGAUAACAGGCUGAUACCGCCCAAGAGUUCAUAUCGACGGCGGUGUUUGGCACCUCGAUGUCGGCUCAUCACAUCCUGGGGCUGAAGUAGGUCCCAAGGGUAUGGCUGUUCGCCAUUUAAAGUGGUACGCGAGCUGGGUUUAGAACGUCGUGAGACAGUUCGGUCCCUAUCUGCCGUGGGCGCUGGAAGAUUGAGGGGGGCUGCUCCUAGUACGAGAGGACCGGAGUGGACGCAUCACUGGUGUUCGGGUUGUCAUGCCAAUGGCACUGCCCGGUAGCUACAUGCGGAAGAGAUAAGUGCUGAAAGCAUCUAAGCACGAAACUUGCCCCGAGAUGAAUCUUCCCUGAGCCUUUAAGGCUCCUGAAGGAACGUUGAAGACGACGACGUUGAUAGGCCGGGUGUGUAAGCGCAGCGAUGCGUUGAGCUAACCGGUACUAAUGAACCGUGAGGCUUAACCUU